rnacentral:rRNA from 1 species
UCAGCAAUGGAUCUUAGUGGCGAACGGGUGAGUAACGCGUAGGCAAUCUGCCUUCUAGAUGGGGACAACAUCCCGAAAGGGGUGCUAAUACCGAAUGUUGUAAUUGGUUCGCAUGGACUAGCUACUAAAGGUGGCCUCUGAAUAUGCUACCGCUAGAAGAUGAGCCUGCGUCUGAUUAGCUAGUUGGAGGGGUAACGGCCCACCAAGGCUUCGAUCAGUAGCCGGUCUGAGAGGAUGAACGGCCACACUGGGACUGAGACACGGCCCAGACUCCUACGGGAGGCAGCAGUGGGGAAUCUUCCGCAAUGGACGAAAGUCUGACGGAGCAACGCCGCGUGAGUGAAGAAGGUUUUCGGAUCGUAAAGCUCUUUCGUUAGGGACGAACGUGCUCUUUGUGAAUAAUGAGGAGUAAUGACGGUACCUAAAUAAGAAGCCACGGCUAACUACGUGCCAGCAGCCGCGGUAAUACGUAGGUGGCAAGCGUUGUCCGGAAUUAUUGGGCGU